rnacentral:piRNA from 1 species
UGAACUAGUCAGUUGGGACUUGGUCA